GUCCUUUUGAAUUUAAUUUAAGGUCUAACCUGCCCACUGAAUUUUUAAUGGCCGCAGUAAUUUGACUGUGCAAAGGUAGCAUAAUAAUUAGUUUUUUAAUUUAAAGCUUGUAUGAAGGGUUGGACGAAAUAAAAUCUGUCUCUAUUUAAUUAAAUUUAGAAUUUAACUUUUAAGUUAAAAGGCUUAAAUGUUAUUAAAAGACGAGAAGACCCUAUAGAUCUUUAUAUUUUUUUUAAUAAUUUUAAUUAAGAAUAUUUAAUGUUUUAUUAUUAAAAAUAUUUUAUUGGGGUAAUAUAAAGAUUAAAAUAAUUCUUUUUUAUAUAAACAUUUAUUUAUGGUAUUAAUGAUCCAAUUUUAUUGAUUAUAAGAUUAAGUUACCUUAGGGAUAACAGCGUAAUUUUUUUUGAGAGUUCUUAUCGAUAAAAAAGUUUGCGACCUCGAUGUUGGAUUAAAGAUUAGUUUAGGUGCAGAAGCUUAAAAAUUUUGGUCUGUUCGACCAUUAAAUCUUUACAUGAUCUGAGUUCAGACCGGCGUAAGCCAGGUCGGUUUCUAUCUUUAAUAAAUUAAAAUAUUUUAGUACGAAAGGACCAAUUAUUUAAUAUAUUUAUAUUUAAUUUUUGAAUAGUAUUAA
rnacentral:rRNA from 1 species